rnacentral:lncRNA from 1 species
AAGCGAAAGCAGGUCAGAGGACAACAACAAAGCGCGAGGAAAGCAAGGGCUGAAGAAUGCCGCCGUACAGCUUCGGACGGGAGUGUGCAACAGCUCUUGCGUACGAGCACGGAGAAUGGGAAGGCAGAAAGGUUUUGUCGUGGUAUAUUACCCAUCACCGCUGUCCGCAACCUUGUACACAGCCCGCCCACAGAACUCUCCUCUGACCAGCAUCUGAUUCAGUCCCUAAUACUCAGUGACAGGUUCAUCAUACUCUGCUACUCUGAUGUGUCACCUCAGCCUCCCUAGUUGGACAUCCUGAGUGCCAACAGCCAACUUCAAUGACCACUUCUCGUCUGUAGCCAGAUUCUCAAGAUUCCGAAUGUGAUAGGUUAGAUGGAACCUACACUCACUUCG